AUUGCAAUUUGCAAUACACCAUCUACUCUUCCAAACUUUAGCUUUCCCCUUCUUUGAAUUGCCCUAGCUCAUUCAGAUCAGAGAACCCUAAGCCCUCCACGCACGAAGAGACGAUUGCUCCUAACCCUAACCUUGUCUUCAUUGUGCCUCAACCCAACCCACUCUUCAUUGUGCCUCACGAAGAACCCCCUAAUCGCGAUGAAGAAUAUCAUAUCGAAGAACCCUAACCUCUCUUCAUUCUGCACUCCGCGAAGAACGUCGCCGGCGCGCAUGAUGCUUCCGUUGGCAAUCCCUCUUCUGGCACCCGUAACCCUCCUUUGAGCUUCGCGUGAUGGCCCCCUGAACAACCACCCCAGCUCUGUCUCUAUCACCUCCAAUCACCGCUACGGUGCCACUGCACCUUCACCUCCGUCGCCGCGCCUCUCGCCAGAUCCACCAGCUCUCCUCCGCUCGCGUCUCACGUCUCCGCCUCCGGCCGCCUGUGUCAUGCUCGCAUCUCUGUCUCUGCUUCGCUCACGAUUCUAUCACGAGCUCGCCUCCACUGUUCAAGCGCUUACUCCCUCUCAUCGCACAAGGCUUCGACGUCUCAAACUUUUUCCCUCAAGUUUCACAUCCAUCUCUUUCUUUGUUGACCUUUAUUUAGGAGCGGAAAUUUAGAAUUAAGAUACAGGGGUUUUAGAAGAUGAAAUCUGUUCCUUUCUUUGUUUAAUUGUGUUCCAUUUUUUCUUGUUUUCUAGCUGUAUUUUGGUUCAGUAUUGUUAUGCUUGCCAUUUGUUUGAUGAAUUUCCUGAGAGAGAUGGAAAAAAGUGGAACUUGAUUUCUGUGUUUUCUAUUUCUAAUUCACAAGAUUUACGUAAUUUUCCUCUUGGAUUGCUUAUGAAAUUGGGUGUAAGCAGUUAGUUUUCUCAGAUUGUUAAUGCUGUACAAUUUCUAAACUCUACCAUUUUUCACAGUGGAGGAAAAAAACAUAUGGACGAGGUGGUUAUAAUCCUAUCCUAGGCUUUGAAAAUGAUGUCCACUUCCUUGCCAGGAUACCAUAUACUUCAUUGCGAAGUCAUCUUCCGGUAGGGGUUCUAUUCCCUGGUGGCAAUUGCUGAGAGGAAGCGUAGAGAGAAGCUCAGCCAGCGCUUCAUUGCUUUAUCUGCCCUUGUUCCUGCUUGUGAAAGUUUCAAAAGAAAGCAGUUAUAGUUCAGAUAACAGUGAUGAAGAAGAAGAAAAAGCUUCUAAAACUCCUCAGAAAAGUGAUGUCAAGAUGGUUGAUGCUGUCUCAGCAAAGAAAGUUGUAUGUUACUGGUCUCAUUUUAUUAUUCUUUUUAAAUGUUUUUUGAUGAAUUAUACAAUUAUAGUAAUGGAUAAAGUGUGAAUUUUUUGAAUCGCUGUAAAUGGAAUGUUCAUGAUUUUUUAAUGAAUGAAAUAUGAAGGUGUUCACUUAAAAUCGUUAAGAGUUAGCAAACAUUUAUAAAUUAUAAUAAUUAUUAUAUUUUCAAAUGAUGUAAACUUGCAAAUAUACCUCUCUUAUGUUUAAUAUUGAGCAUUUAGAAUGUAAAUUGUUGCUCAUGUUUUGUUAUUAUUGAAUUAAAUUACUCUCUUUUUUUUGGUGUCCAAUUAAGUUAAUCUAAUUCAAUAUUGAGCAUUUAAAUUUGCUUUUUUGGUCAUCGAAAAAAAUUGUCUACAUUUCUAAAAAUUAGCAUAGUAUUCUAUUAUGGAACAUGUGGCCCAAUUUAACACUACAAGCCUGAUUAUGUUUGUGGACCAUAAGUUUUUUUUUCUUAUAAUCACAAUUUUUUUUGCUUUUAUGUUAGAAGAAUUUCAUAGUGUGUUUUAGUAGAAAGUUUUUUAAAAUUCCUAAAAAUUAUUCUAAAAAAUAUUACAUUUAAUUAAAUCCUCUUCCCCCCAAUUUCAAACUCGUGUGAAAGGUGGGUUUGCCCAUUAUUUUUCUAUGGGCUUAUGGGAAUGUUUUUAAUAAAAUAUUAUGGGAAUGUUUUCAGUAAAAUAAAAUUAUUUUACUAUUUUAUUUUUCAAAGUUGCUAUAAUUGUAAACACACCACAUCACAUUUACUGUGAACAAUUAUCCCUAACUACCGCUGCGCCAUUAGAGGCGGAUACGUCCGAAGAGGACACUCAAGAUGGAGACAACACGAAUAAAAAGAGACAAAAAGCGGAGUAGUAGAGAAUAAAGAAAAGUCAGAUUUGGUGGAAAAGAAAGAAUUUACAGUUUUGCCUACAUCGACUUCAAGGAUUCUUCUAGCAUGAAGAAAGCUCUAGAACUCAAAUGAAACUGAACUUGCUGGUGGUUAUUACCUCUCAGUUGAAGACAAUGUUUAUUAUUAAUUUUGAUAGUGUUUAUUAUUAAUUUGACAGAGUGUGGCGUUGGCUUUGAUAUGAUAAUUAACUAAGUUUGAUUUCUUUAUCCAUUUAUUUAUUAUUAAUUUUUAUUAUUUAUAGCUUGAGAAUGAGGACAUGCUCUAUCUACUUUCUAUUGAUGAUGAUGAAGAGUAGUGAAUACCAUGUUGAUUUUUGGUUAUCACUGCUAGUAUUUAACGGGUUAUGGUGGUUGAUGCCGAGGCAUACACCUAUGAUGAUGAGGUCAUCAAGAAAGCUGAAGCAAUGGAGAAGCCCGAAAAUCCUGAAGAAGAAGCUACUGUGGAAACUACUAGAGCCAUAAAACAUCAUCAAGAAAGCUGAAACAAUGGGGAAGCCCGAAAAUCCUGAAGAAGAAGCUACUGUGGAAACUACCAGAGCCAUAAAAGCUUCUCAGUUGUUGCUAAAUGCCAUUGAAAUCCUGAAGAAUCUGGAUGCUGUACGUCUCUGAGCACAUAGUGGAGGCUGAUGAUUAGUUUGGUGAAUUGGGUGCACAUAUGUGAGGAGGUUGAUCAAAAUUAUUGUUAGAUAGGAUGGCAAAGUUAUUGGAAUUGCAACUCAUGUAUUAGGAAUACAUUGCUUAGUUGUUAUCACUUUGGUUUUUGAUAUUUUGUUAUACUGUCAUGUGAUUAAACAUUUCUUUUGGUGACAAGUUUAUGUAUGUAGGAUUAGUGGAUUUAAAAU